UACGUAGGGGGCUAGCGUUGUCCGGAUUUAUUGGGCGUAAAGAGCGUGUAGGCGGCCAUGUAGGUCUGGUGUGAAAACUCGAGGCUUAACCUCGAGAUGUCAUCGGAAACCAUCUGGCUAGAGUCCGGAAGAGGAGAGUGGAAUUCCUGGUGUAGCGGUGAAAUGCGCAGAUAUCAGGAAGAACACCCGUGGCGAAGGCGGCUCUCUGGGACGGUACUGACGCUGAGACGCGAAAGCGUGGGGAGCGAACAGG
rnacentral:rRNA from 1 species